UACGAAGGGGCUAGCGUUGCUCGGAAUUACUGGGCGUAAAGCGCACGUAGGCGGUCUUUUAAGUCGGGGGUGAAAUCCUGGAGCUCAACUCCAGAACUGCCUUCGAUACUGGAAGACUCGAGUCCGGGAGAGGUGAGUGGAACUGCGAGUGUAGAGGUGAAAUUCGUAGAUAUUCGCAAGAACACCAGUGGCGAAGGCGGCUCACUGGGCCUUACCUGACGCU
rnacentral:rRNA from 1 species